rnacentral:rRNA from 1 species
UACAGAGGUCUCAAGCGUUGUUCGGAUUCAUUGGGCGUAAAGGGUGCGUAGGCGGCGCGGUAAGUCGGGUGUGAAAUCUCGGGGCUUAACUCCGAAACUGCAUUCGAUACUGCCGUGCUUGAGGACUGGAGAGGAGACUGGAAUUUACGGUGUAGCGGUGAAAUGCGUAGAUAUCAUGAGGAAGACCAGUGGCGAAGGCGGGUCUCUGGACAGUUCCUGACACUGAGGCACGAAGGCCAGGGGAGCAAACGGGG